rnacentral:rRNA from 1 species
AUUGAACGCUGGCGGCAUGCUUUACACACGCAAGUCGAACGGAUUAGAGGGGCUUGCUCCUCUAGUUAGUGGCGAACGGGUGAGUAAUGCAUCGGAACGUACCGUGUAGUGGGGGAUAACCCGGCGAAAGUCGGAUUAAUACCGCAUACGAUCUAAGGAUGAAAGCGGGGGAUCGCAAGACCUCGCGCUAUACGAGCGGCCGAUGUCGGAUUAGCUAGUUGGUAGGGUAAAGGCCUACCAAGGCAACGAUCCGUAGCGGGUCUGAGAGGAUGAUCCGCCACACUGGGACUGAGACACGGCCCAGACUCCUACGGGAGGCAGCAGUGGGGAAUUUUGGACAAUGGGUGGAAGCCUGAUCCAGCCAUGCCGCGUGCAGGAAGAAGGCCUUCUGGGUUGUAAACUGCUUUUAUCUGGGGAUAAAAAGGCCUUGCGAGGCAAACUGAAGGUACCAGAUGAAUAAGCCACGGCUAACUACGUGCCAGCAGCCGCGGUAAU